rnacentral:rRNA from 1 species
UACGUAGGGGGCAAGCGUUAUCCGGAUUUACUGGGUGUAAAGGGAGCGUAGACGGUGAUGCAAGUCAGAAGUGAAAGCCCGGGGCCCAACCCCGGGACUGCUUUGGAAACUGUGUAACUGGAGUACAGGAGGGGCAGGCGGAAUUCCUGGUGUAGGGGUAAAAUCCGUAGAGAUCAAGAGGAAUACUCAUUGCGAAGGCGACCUGCUAGAACAUAACUGACGCUGAUGCGCGAAAGCGUGGGGAGCAAACAGG